rnacentral:misc_RNA from 1 species
AGUGAAAUUAAGAAAAUGUGAUUUGAUUCGAUUUUCUUAAUUUCACGAUAAAAAAAACCCCGCAAUGCGGGGUUUUUU